rnacentral:lncRNA from 1 species
ACGACCGACGACGAUUUCAUUUCUCCGCCGCCUCUGAGAAUCAGCGACGUAGAGCAGGUUGGAAGGCUCAUGGAGAUCUACUUAGCUGAAAUAGCUUCUGACCAGAACUUGAGUCUUGUGAGGUUCAUCGGCCUCGCUGAACUGAUCCCUGAACAAGCAAGAGUUACCGAAGACGGCACGUACAGAGCGAUUGAUAUAUACUUGAAGGUGCAUUGCAUUUUCAACUUACAAAUUUCUCGCAUGUUCGUCUCUUGAGGCGUGCAAUUUGAAAUGUAAUGCUAGAUUUAGUGAUCUCCUAGUAGUAAUGGACACUAUAAUCUUUGUGAUAGUAUAUCUUGUAUUGAUAUUCAUAGGCUCACCCAUCUUUAUCCGACGCGGAAAGGAAAAGGGUUUGCGCCUUGAUGGACUGCCAGAAGCUCUCAAGAGAAGCUUGUGCUCAUGCCGCUCAGAACGAUAGGCUCCCGGUGCAGAUAGUAGUCCAGGUGCUUUACUACGAACAGCAACGCCUUCGAGAUGCAAUGAGUGGUGGCUUCAUGUAUGGGGAUUCGCCUGCGCUUUCCUUAAAAGAGACUACAUUGGGGACUAGAUAUCACAAUCCACCGGACGAGCUGUCGCGCCUUCGACGAGAAAACGACGACCUCAAAAUGGAAGUCCUGAAGAUGAAAAUGCAAUUGAAAGAAUUAGGCAAUCGUUCGGGAAGCAUACCGUCUGCGAAUAAGCCUCCGCUGCCGAAGAAGUCGUUCAUCGACUCCGUUUCUAAGAAGCUCGGGCGCCUCCCGUUUAUGCGUUCGGAUAGCGUUAAGCCUACAAAAACAAAAGCAAAGCCUCC